AAUCAAACUUCUAUGGGUUAACAAUCGCAGCAAUUCUGUUGUAGGUUUUUGCUCAAGUUAAAAUCAUAUGUGCGAAAUAAACGAUAUCCUGAAGGAUCUAUUGCUGAAGGAUUUUUAGUAGAGGAAUGUGUCACUUUUUGUUCUAGAUAUUUGGUUGAUGUUGAAACAAUAUUUGAUAGACCUGGGAGAAAUUUAACAUAAGUGCAACAUGAGCUACUUGCAAAGUCGUAUUUAUUUGAAAGUAUUGGAUAACCAAUAGGGAAAGUGGAAGUAGCAGAGUUAGAUGAUAGAUCAUGGGUACAAGCACAUCGUUAUGUAUUAUUUCACUAUAAAGCUAUUAAAUCACUCCAAAUGUAAGUUAAACACUUCACAUUUCUUAUUUAGUGUGUUAGAAUUUUUUAACAUUUUUUAUCAUUACUUGUAGUUAGUAUAGAAAUAUCUUGAAAGAUCAAACAAGAGGUCGAUGUUCAAAUGCUCGUGAUCUCGAUAGGAAAUUUACGGAAACUUUUCAUGAAUGGUUGGGAGAAACGGUAAGCAACUAGAAAAUAUUAUAACUUGAACAAUUCUCUAUUGGUAUUGUUAUAAUUAGAUUCAUGUAACUUGUAUAGGUUUCUCAUGGAAAAAAUGUGUCAGAAGAAAUUAAAUUUCUUGCGCAAGGUACAAAUAAGAUUGUUAAGAGAUAUAAAGGACUUGUCAUUAAUGGAUUUCGAUUCAAUACUAAAUCUCGAGAAGAAUUUAGGCGAACCCAAAAUUCUAGGUGUCUUGUUACUUCUUUAACUAUGAGCUAUGCUAGUGCUAGGGAUACUAAUCCAUUGGAAGGAAAUGUUGACUACUAUGGGGUGCUAAAUUAUAUAAUUGAGUUAGACUACUUUAACAAGUUCAAAGUUGUGUUAUUUCAUUGUGAUUGGGCUGAUGUGAAUAAUAGUAGGGGGGGUCAAGAAAGAUAGAUAUGGAUUUAUAAUGGUAAAAAUCUCUGGUAUGAUUCACCCUGGCAAACAUAUCCUCGAUGAGCCUUAUAUGUUUUCAUCACAAGUGAAGCAAGUUUUUUAUUCUGAAGAUCCCAAAGAACCUAGUUGGUUUGUUGUGAUACGUAAUCAACCAAGAGAAGUGUAUGACAUGGGUGAUGAAAUAACAGAUGAUGGACCUCGGACUGAAUUUUUCCCUUCCUCUCAUGAGAGUAUCUUCAAUGAUAAUGAAUUUUUCCCUUCCUCUCAUGAAGCUUUUUCAAUUUUUUUUCUGGAAUAUAUAAUUGUAAUAGUUUUUAUGUUUAAGGCCAACAAGUAUGGACUAUAUGUGCCCAAAUUUUAUCUUUUGGUGGGAAAAUAUUUUUUUGAAGAAAUCCAGAGUGUUAAUGGAGUUUUAUGUACGGACUACAAGGCUCUUUUAGCUCAUUUUAGUGUAACAUAUCCAAUCAUCUAAUAAAGUGAGCAUCACAUGACAUGCUGAUCAAGUUCUUUUUCUUUUGUAUGGUUACAUUUAUGGUUCAAAUUCCAAUAUUUCAGUUUUUUUGGGAAAAUACAUUAAUAUAGUAGUUUUUUGAGUCAUGAUUCUAUGCUACAAUUAGUGAGCAUCAAUAUUCUCCACAAGCAACUAGUAAUUGAUUAUGUAAAGCAUGGAUGGAGUAAUUAACCUUUACCUUUGUAUAUUUAACUUUAGCUGACACCGGGGGAUUUUGGUGAGGUUUUGAACGAUCAGAUAUCCAAACAUGCAAGUUAAACAUCAUGUUUAAGAAGUCCUUUGAUGUGAAAUCCCACCAACGCUUGUCUGGAGCUGAUAAUAAACAAAAAAAUCAAAAGAAAAUUCAUCAUCACAAAUCUUCCUCUAUUUCUUCAAGUCUAUAACCAAACAAGUACCAGCUUCCAAGGAUGCACCUACUAAUGUUUCAAGAUCAAGGAAUUGCAUAUAUAAAGUCUUAGAACAACUUUCAUUACGCAACUCAUCCUCUUAAUAUUUGGCCUAUUGUCAAAAGAAAUAAAGAGACUAAUAUUAAGAAUGAGUCUCUGCCUAUUUAAGAUUGUCUGCAUCAUGGAUAAAAAGAACUUUAUUUCUUCUUCUCAUUAUGCUUUGCUUUUAUCAGAAUCUUCCUUUAAUGACUUAAAAGCAUGGUCUUAAUUAUGUUAAUUAGUAUUUAAGUGUUCUUCAUGGUGGACAAUGCAUUAAUUUUUAUGUGUUUCUGAUGAUGAUGCUUGGAUUAUUGUUAGUUGGCAUUUGAAUUGCUCCACUGCCCUAACAUUAGUCUGAAAAUGAUGGUGCUUGCUCUCAGGGUCCUACUAACAUGGAUGUCUUUUUCUAACUCACAUAAUGUAGUUGAUGCUACAAGUGACCAUUCCAUGAAUAAGUAUAUGAUGAUUACUAUAAGGAAAGAGGAUGACAUAAAUAUGAUAUAUUUAUGCUACAAGUGACCAUUCCAUGAACUCAAGUUUUUGUGGGAAAUGGCCUCCUGUGUGUGAUGGUGAAAGCAGCUGGUUGCUUGAAAGAUUUAUGAGUGGAAGACAAGGAAUGUGUAGAUAGUCAUAAAACUGGUGUGGAGACUACUUUUGAUUAGAAGAAACAAAGUAGGAUACUAAUUAUUUCUUACCCCCAUCUACUCCUCCCUAAAGAUUGGAAAUCUUCAUAGCCUGUUUAAUCAUUUUUCUUGCAUCUAUUAUUUGAUAUACGACACAGAUUAGUCAUUUUGGCACUGUGACUUCUGUUUUGCAUCUCAUCUCUAAUUUGAAUCAUUGUGUGAAGAUGAUUUGUAAUGUUUCUUUUUCUCGCUAACUGUUUAAAAACUAUCUACAUAUUUUUUGUUGUCUUGCAUUACAAAAGCAACCUCCGUAUUUUUGUUUUGUUUUGGCAAUUCUGAUUUAUUGAGAUAUGUAUGUGGUGGUGAUGUACAUUUAGAAAAGAUGAUGUAUGAUUUAAAUGUCCUUAUGAAAUAAGUUGUCAAUUUUGUUUUCGAUAGAAACAUAUGCUUUAUAUUGAAUGCUCUGUUCUAUUUGUUGUGAUAAUGAUUAAUGAGCAUAUACAUGGCCUUAUCAAAAACUUAAUUACUUCGUAUUCAUUAUAUCGUAUUCAUUUUGGCUAUGUCAGCAUUCAGAUAAUGUUGUUGUUUUUUGAUAUCAGGUGUGCAUAUAAUGGUGUUCUUGUGGUUUUGUUGUUCUCAUUCAGCUUAUUUGCAUUAGCUCCUCUUGCCAAGCGUAUAAGAGAAAAUAUGCCGAAAUUAAAAUUGAAGUGUAUGAAAAUGGUCGUGUCAGAACCUGCUCCAAAUAAUGGUACUAGGUGUGACGCUGGUGUGGGUGUUAGAAUGAGCAACACUAGCAACUCCAAUUCAUCAGCCUCUCUUGGUUCUAAUAGAUCUGCUCCAACACUUUAUGUUGCUACUCAUUGCUCGGUCCCAUCAUCUUCAGCUGAUUCAAAUCAUAAUGAACAAGUGUCAAACCAAAAUAAUAGUACCAGAAUAGAGAAUGUUCCCGCAGUUAAUGAAGCAGAAAAUUUAAACGCAAUUGAUAGAAAUGGACAAAAAAAAAGAGGCUUAACUACUUUGAAAGACUUGUGGUCAUUACCACCAGAAGAGAGGAUUAUGGUGAGUGCAAAUCAUUUGGGACAACCAAUUGGGCCCGAAGCACAACUACUAGCUGGAUUUCUCGGCAUGCUUGCUCGAACUGGUCAACAAAUUGGCAUCCAAUAUGAGAGUUGGCAUAAAGUGCCAAAAAAAUUAAAGGAUAAAUUAUUCAAAUUUAUUGAGUUACGAUUUGCUCUUGAUAUUUCAAAAGAGUAUGUGCUUAAGUCUUUGGGGAAGAAAUGGAGAGAUUACAAGCAUGAUUUGAAAAAGUGUCAUUUCAAACGUGAAGAUGGUUUGCAAGUGAACAAAGAUAAACAUCCAAACACAACCAUUCGAUGGCAAUGGGAACAAUUAGUCGAUUAUUGGUAUUCAAAUAAAGGAGUGAAAGACUUGGAGUUGCUAGCAGAAAACAACAAAAAUAUACUCAUACAUCUGGAUCAAAGAUCUUUGCUAGAAAGGAAAAGGAAAAGGAAAUGGAGGUUAACAAUGGAAGAAAAGUAGGACGCCUCAAAUUUUUUAAUGCAACUCAUACCAAAAAGGAUGGUUCUCACAUGAAUGUGGAAACUGAACAAAUUAUGAAUCAGCCUUCUAGAGAUGAGUUGUGGCAUUCAUCAAGCUAUGGAGGAUUUUUAUUUAUCUUUGAUUUCUUUUGUAUUAUUUGGAGGAAGACAAGAAUCACAAACCUAACUGUGUACUAAUUAAUAUCGAAGACUUUUGUGACUUCUAAUUGGUUUUAAAUUAUUAAACAUCAACAAUUG